CCAGUGCAUGCCGGCAUCAAUAGAGGAGAGUUCACCAUGGAAGCCUCACUUUUAAUGACCGAGUAAAGCUAUUCGUAACAUACCAGCAGUGAUAUCAUUGCUUAUAAAAAAGACCACUAGGGGUCCCCAUACCAUCCAGAACAUAAUCCUCUCCAGCUGCAGAAUCAUCUUCUCCAAGCUGAAGCAUAGGCUGGGACAAAGUCAAUGAAGUGAGGGAGUGGCUAGCACUCCUUUGUGCUCACUCCUGUCCUGUCUAUGAGACUCCUGUCUGAAAAUAGAGAGGAGAGGAUUACAGAGCAGCCUGCAGUGACUGGAUAAAGAGACCCAGCACAGAACAGCAGGCUCGGGAAGGAAGGAUGGAAGCCAUCUUCUCCGGCAGGCGGAUUCUGUUUCCUGGCCACUGGGACAAAUUCCAGGAAGUGAGGGAGGGACAAACAGGUUCUCUGUUUGUUCUGCACUGAGGAGGAGGGAGAAAGUUCCCCCAUGAUAUGUGCUGGCAAGUGUCAUACUUGUGAAAGGGAACAUCCCCAUCUCCUCAGUAAAUUACAAAGAACCAAGCAGCAGAAGAGAGGAGAUGACAGAAGAUAAUGAUUGAAGCAUGGGGAACUGAGCUGCAAGCAAGACUGGGGAAAAAGCUGAGUGUGGGCAAGAGGAGGCUGCAUCAUAAGCGACAGAUCACUGAACUGGUACUAAUGUGAGAGAGGGCAUCAUAAAGGGGAUAACAGGUUCCCGUUUACUAAGGCCAUGAACUGCAGAUUAUUUAUUAUAAAGUAUAAUUGUAAAUGACACAAAUUAGGUGUAAUUUACUUCAGCUAAAUAUUUGUUCAUAGCUCUAAUGUAAUUUUCCUCAUCAGUUUAACAGCUGUGUGUCAAGAAAAAUCAUUAUGUAGCCUGUGUCACACCACCGCAAGAAGUGCAGUUAACACUGCCAUAGUGGGGGAAAAAUGGAAAAAAUAAGUAUUUACUACUAU